GUUGACCUCGGAUCAGGUAGGAAUACCCGCUGAACUUAAGCAUAUCAAUAAGCGGAGGAAAAGAAACCAACAGGGAUUGCCCUAGUAACGGCGAGUGAAGCGGCAACAGCUCAAAUUUGAAAUCUGGCUUCAGGCCCGAGUUGUAAUUUGCAGAGGAUGUUUCUGGCGCGGUGCCUUCCGAGUUCCCUGGAACGGGACGCCACAGAGGGUGAGAGCCCCGUAUGGUAGGACACCAAGCCUGUGUGAAACUCCUUCGACGAGUCGAGUAGUUUGGGAAUGCUGCUCUAAAGGGAGGAAUCCCAACAAAGCUAAAGCCCC
rnacentral:rRNA from 1 species